GAUGAACGCUGGCGGCGUGCCUAAUACAUGCAAGUCGAGCGAACAGACGAGGAGCUUGCUCCUCUGACGUUAGCGGCGGACGGGUGAGUAACACGUGGAUACCCUACCUAUAAGACUGGGAUAACUUCGGGAAACCGGAGCUAAUACCGGAUAAUAUAUUGAACCGCAUGGUUCAAUAGUGAAAGACGGUUUUGCUGUCACUUAUAGAUGGAUCCGCGCCGCAUUAGCUAGUUGGUAAGGUAACGGCUUACCAAGGCAACGCUGCGUAGCCGACCUGCGAGGGUGAUCGGACACCCUGGAGCUGAGACACGGUCCAGACUCCUACGGGAGGCAGCAGUAGGGAAUCUUCCGCAAUGGGGGAGAGCCUAGCGCAAGACUGGCGCGACAGUUCAGAGGGUCUUCGGGGCGUAGGACGCUGUGAUUAGGGAAGAACAAAUGUGGAAGGACUUAUGCAGGGCUUGACGGGACCUGAUCAGGAAGCCACGGCUACAUACGUG
rnacentral:rRNA from 1 species